AGAGUUUGAUCAUGGCUCAGAUUGAACGCUGGCGGCAGGCUUAACACAUGCAAGUCGAGCGGGCGAGGUUGCUUCGGUAACUGAGCUAGCGGCGGACGGGUGAGUAAAGCUUAGGAAUCUGCCUAUUAGUGGGGGACAACAUUUCGAAAGGGAUGCUAAUACCGCAUACGUCCUACGGGAGAAAGCAGGGGACCUUCGGGCCUUGCGCUAAUAGAUGAGCCUAAGUCGGAUUAGCUAGUUGGUGGGGUAAAGGCCUACCAAGGCGACGAUCUGUAGCGGGUCUGAGAGGAUGAUCCGCCACACUGGGACUGAGACACGGCCCAGACUCCUACGGGAGGCAGCAGUGGGGAAUAUUGGACAAUGGGGGGAACCCUGAUCCAGCCAUGCCGCGUGUGUGAAGAAGGCCUUUUGGUUGUAAAGCACUUUAAGUGGGGAGGAGGCUCUCUUGGUUAAUACCUAAGAAGAGUGGACGUUACCCACAGAAUAAGCACCGGCUAACUCUGUGCCAGCAGCCGCGGUAAUACAGAGGGUGCGAGCGUUAAUCGGAUUUACUGGGCGUAAAGCGCGCGUAGGUGGUUAAUUAAGUCAAAUGUGAAAUCCCCGAGCUUAACUUGGGAAUUGCAUUCGAUACUGGUUAGCUAGAGUAUGGGAGAGGAUGGUAGAAUUCCAGGUGUAGCGGUGAAAUGCGUAGAGAUCUGGAGGAAUACCGAUGGCGAAGGCAGCCAUCUGGCCUAAUACUGACACUGAGGUGCGAAAGCAUGGGGAGCAAACAGGAUUAGAUACCCUGGUAGUCCAUGCCGUAAACGAUGUCUACUAGCCGUUGGGGGAUUUGAUCCUUUAGUGGCGCAGCUAACGCGAUAAGUAGACCGCCUGGGGAGUACGGUCGCAAGACUAAAACUCAAAUGAAUUGACGGGGGCCCGCACAAGCGGUGGAGCAUGUGGUUUAAUUCGAUGCAACGCGAAGAACCUUACCUGGCCUUGACAUAGUAGAGACUUUCCAGAGAUGGAUUGGUGCCUUCGGGAAUCUACAUACAGGUGCUGCAUGGCUGUCGUCAGCUCGUGUCGUGAGAUGUUGGGUUAAGUCCCGCAACGAGCGCAACCCUUUUCCUUACUUGCCAGCAUUUCGGAUGGGAACUUUAAGGAUACUGCCAGUGACAAACUGGAGGAAGGCGGGGACGACGUCAAGUCAUCAUGGCCCUUACGGCCAGGGCUACACACGUGCUACAAUGGUCGGUACAAAGGGUUGCUACACAGCGAUGUGAUGCUAAUCUCAAAAAGCCGAUCGUAGUCCGGAUCGCAGUCUGCAACUCGACUGCGUGAAGUCGGAAUCGCUAGUAAUCGCGGAUCAGAAUGCCGCGGUGAAUACGUUCCCGGGCCUUGUACACACCGCCCGUCACACCAUGGGAGUUUGUUGCACCAGAAGUAGGUAGUCUAACCGUAAGGAGGACGCUUACCACGGUGUGGCCGAUGACUGGGGUGAAGUCGUAACAAGGUAGCCGUAGGGGAACCUGCGGCUG
rnacentral:rRNA from 1 species